GCCCUCGUGGUGAAACGGAUAUCACGGCUGGCUUCGGACCAGCUAUUGGGGGUUCGAAUCCCUCCGGGGGCACCA
rnacentral:tRNA from 1 species